CAUUAAUGUGGGUUUGGACGGUU
rnacentral:miRNA from 1 species